rnacentral:rRNA from 1 species
GACGAACGCUGGCGGCGUGCUUAACACAUGCCAGUCGAACGGAAAGGCCCUGCUUUUGUGGGGUGCUCGAGUGGCGAACGGGUGAGUAACACGUGAGUAACCUGCCCUUGUCUUUGGGAUAACUUCAGGAAACUGGGGCUAAUACCGGAUAGGAGCUCCUGCUGCAUGGUGGGGGUUGGAAAGUUUCGGCGGUUGGGGAUGGACUCGCGGCUUAUGAGCUUGUUGGUGGGGUAGUGGCUUACCAAGCCUUAGACGGGUAGCCGGCCCGAGAGGGUGACCAGGCACAAUGGGACUGAGAGAGGCCGCAGACUGCAACGGGAGGCAGCGGGCGGGAGUAUUGCAGAGUGGGCGGGAGUCUGUGACGACAGCCCCGCGUGCGGAAUGACCUGCUUCGGGUUAUGAACAGCUGUGGCCUGAGACGAAGCGGGAGUGACGGUAAUGGGUAAAGAAGCACCGGCUAACUACGUG